rnacentral:rRNA from 1 species
CUGCUGCCUCCCGUAGGAGUUUGGGCCGUGUCUCAGUCCCAAUGUGGCCGUCCACCCUCUCAGGCCGGCUACUGAUCGUCGCCUUGGUGGGCCUUUACCCCGCCAACCAGCUAAUCAGACGCGGGUCCAUCUUGCACCACCGGAGUUUUUCACACUGUCCCAUGCGGGACCGUGCGCUUAUGCGGUAUUAGCACCUAUUUCUAAGUGUUAUCCCCCAGUGCAAGGCAGGUUACCCACGCGUUACUCACCCGUCCGCCACUAAAG